rnacentral:rRNA from 1 species
UACGAAGGGGGCUAGCGUUGCUCGGAAUCACUGGGCGUAAAGCGCACGUAGGCGGAUUGUUAAGUCAGGGGUGAAAUCCUGGAGCUCAACUCCAGAACUGCCUUUGAUACUGGCGAUCUCGAGUCCGGGAGAGGUGAGUGGAACUGCGAGUGUAGAGGUGAAAUUCGUAGAUAUUCGCAAGAACACCAGUGGCGAAGGCGGCUCACUGGCCCGGUACUGACGCUGAGGUGCGAAAGCGUGGGGAGCAAACAGGGAUUAA